AGUGAACGCUGGCGGUAGGCCUAACACAUGCAAGUCGAACGGCAGCACAGUAAGAGCUUGCUCUUACGGGUGGCGAGUGGCGGACGGGUGAGGAAUACAUCGGAAUCUACUUUUUCGUGGGGGAUAACGUAGGGAAACUUACGCUAAUACCGCAUACGACCUACGGGUGAAAGCAGUGGAUCUUCGGACCUUGCGCGAUUGAAUGAGCCGAUGUCGGACUAGCUAGUUGGCGGGGUAAAGGCCCACCAAGGCGACGAUCCGUAGCUGGUCUGAGAGGAUGAUCAGCCACACUGGAACUGAGACACGGUCCAGACUCCUACGGGAGGCAGCAGUGGGGAAUAUUGGACAAUGGGCGCAAGCCUGAUCCAGCCAUAGCGCGUGGGUGAAGAAGGCCUUCGGGUUGUAAAGCCCUUUUGUUGGGAAAGAAAAGCAGCAGGUUAAUACCCCGCUGUUCUGACGGUACCCGAAGAAUAAGCACCGGCUAACUUCGUG
rnacentral:rRNA from 1 species